UACGUAGGGAGCAAGCGUUGUCCGGAAUCAUUGGGCGUAAAGCGCGCGUAGGUGGCUUCGUAAGUCCGUUGUGAAAGUCAAAGGCUCAACCUUUGAAAGCCGAUGGAUACUGUGAAGCUAGAGUACGGAAGAGGCGAAUGGAAUUCCUGGUGUAGCGGUGGAAUGCGCAGAUAUCAGGAGGAACACCAAUAGCGAAGGCAGCUCGCUGGGACGUUACUGACACUGAGGCGCGAAAGCGUGGGGAGCAAACAGG
rnacentral:rRNA from 1 species